UCGGAACACCUUUGGUCUCAUUCGCUUCGAUUAAAUAGGACAAAAUGGCAGCUUGCAGGUUGAUGUAAACAAAGCAAAGAAAAUUGAACAGAUGACAAGAAGACAAAGUGUUAGUUUGAAAUGAUUUUAAGCCAGGGAAUCAAGGUUAACAGCAUCUAGAUUUGGAGAAAUUUGCAAGGCAACAUGAAGGAGAAACACCGCCAAUCUUUGCGAGUCUUGCUGGAAGGAAUAUUUUUUUCAACACAAGCAACACUUCAUGGGAAAAACUAUGAAAAGAAGGCUUUAAAUGCCUUUGAAUCAAAAUCAAAACUGAAAACUUCUGCAUGUUGUUUGUUUAAUUUGUUUGUAUUGAUUAUCCCUAUUUAGGUGCAACACCGGAUGCCAUUGUUGGUGAUGAUGCACUAGUUGAGAUUAAAUGUCCUUUCAAGUAACGGAAUAAAAAAAUUAAACCUA